CUGACACUCACACACUGCACCCCUGACACUCACACAAACACACUGCACCCCUCACACUCACACACACACACACACACUGCACCCCUGACACUCACACACACUGCACCCCUGACACGCACAGCACCCUCACACACUGCACCCCUGACACGCACAGCACCCUCACACACUGCACCCCUGACACGCACAGCACCCUCACACACACACUGCACAUCUGACCCUCACAGCACACACACUGCACGUCUGACCCUCACAGCACCCUCACACACACACUGCACGUCUGACCCUCACAGCACACACACUGCACGUCUGACACUCACAGCACCCUCACACACACACUGCACCCCUGACACGCACAGCACCCUCACACACACACUGCACAUCUGACACAGCACAAACAAAAUGCACCCCUAACACUCAGAGCACCCUCACACACACACACUGCACCCCUGACACACACAGCACACACACUGCACCCCUGACACUCUCAGCACCCUCACACACACUGCACGUCUGACACAGCACAAACAAAAUGCACCUCUAACACUCACAGCACCCUCACACACACACACUGCACCCCUGACACACACAGCACACACACAGCAC